GACGAACGCUGGCGGCGUGCUUAACACAUGCAAGUCGAACGGGCCCGCCCCUGUUUUUGGGGGUGGGUUGAGUGGCGAACGGGUGAGUAUCACGUGAGUAACCUGCCCCCUGCUCCUGGAUAACUGCUUGAAAGGGCGGCUAAUACGGGGUGUGCCGGCUGGUCCGCAUGGGCCUGGUCGGGAUAGUUUCAUCUUCGGGUGUUUCGGUGGGGGAUGGGCUCGCGGCCUAUCAGCUUGUUGGUGGGGUGAUGGCCCACCAAGGCGGUGACGGGUAGCCGGCCUGAGAGGGUGGGCGGCCACACUGGGACUGAGACACGGCCCAGACUGCUGCGGGAGGCAGCAGUGGGGGGUAUUGCACAAUGGGCGGAAGCCUGAUGCAGCGACGUCGCGUGAGGGAUGGAGGCCUUCGGGUUGUGAACCUCUUUCUCCGGUGGUGAAGGCCCUGUCCGUUGCGGCGGGGUUGACGGUAGCCGGGUAUGAAGCGCCGGCUAACUACGUG
rnacentral:rRNA from 1 species